rnacentral:rRNA from 1 species
ACUCCUACGGGAGGCAGCAGUGGGGAAUAUUGGACAAUGGGCGAAAGCCUGAUCCAGCCAUGCCGCGUGGGUGAAGAAGGCCCUAGGGUUGUAAAACCCCUUUCAGUCGGGGAAGGAUAAUGACGGUACCCGCAGAAGAAGCCCCGGCUAACUCCGUGCCAGCAGCCGCGGUAAAUACGGAGGGGCUAGCGUUGUUCGGAAUUACUGGGCGUAAAAGCGCGCGUAGGCGGACUUUCAA